rnacentral:rRNA from 1 species
GCGCAACCCUUGUCCUUAUUUGCCAGCGCGUGGUGGCGGGAACUCUCUGGAGACUGCCGGUGAUAAACCGGAGGAAGGUGGGGACGACGUCAAGUCAUCAUGGCCCUUACGGGAUGGGCUACACACGUGCUACAAUGGCAAGUACAGAGGGCAGCAAUACCGCGAGGUGGAGCGAAUCCCACAUAGCUUGUCGUAUUCCGGAUUGGAGUCUGCAACUCGACUCCAUGAAGUCGGAAUCGCUAGUAAUCGUAGAUCAGAAUGCUACGGUGAAUACGUUCCCGGGCCUUGCACACACCGCCCGU